UCCUCCGUGGCGCAAUUGGCUAGCGCGUCUGACUGUUACUCGUCCGCAGAGAGCAAUCAGGAGGUUCGUGGUACGUAUUCAUCAGGAGUUUCAAAUUCACAGCGCCGACUAACAGUCCCUUAGGUUCGAGCCCACGCGGGGGAG